rnacentral:lncRNA from 1 species
UGAAAUAUGAACCGUUGAAUUUGUUUGGGUGAAAGGGUCUUUACAGUUCUGAAGUUGAUAAUGUUGAAGGGACUGCAACAGGAUCUUCAUUCAUUUGUGAAUUGGAUAUUCCCAUUUUGAAUUACAUUUUUGUGAUGCUACUAUGCAGAAGCUAGUCUAACAUUAGACGAAUAUACGAUGCAGUAUUUCGUGAUUCCUGGUCAUUGUAUUCUAUGACCACUCAUCCAUGGUGACAUUUUGAUCUAUACAACAUUGAGUUAUUUAGCUCUUUACUGU